rnacentral:rRNA from 1 species
UAACGCGAGUGAACAGGGAUUAGCCAGCACCGAAGCCUGUGGCCAUUUGGUCACUAGGCAAUGUGGUGUUCAGGUUGUUCCGCAAAGACACUGCUCCACCCUAAGUCCAUCAAUGAGUACGGUAGUACGGACAUGGCCCGCAGAGGGUGAAAGGCCCGUGGGGGUGGAGAUCAUGUAGGCCAGUGUCUUUCUGGAUAGACCUUGGAGUCGGGUUGUUUGUGAAUGCAGCCCAAAGUGGGUGGUAAACUCCAUCCAAGGCUAAAUACAAGCACGAGUCCGAUAGCGAACAAGUACCGUGAGGGAAAGUUGAAAAGUACUUUGAAGAGAGAGUAAACAGUGCGUGAAACCGAUCAGAGGUAAACGGGUGGAGUUGAACUGCAAGCUCUGGGAAUUCAACUGGUGAGUGUGGUUUGAGCUUGGUUAAAUUGGUUGGGCCCUGGAGUCUGCGUAGCAGCAGGCCUUUGCCUUUCGGGGUGAAGGUGCGCGAUGCACUUAUCAAGUGUUGUGCGCUUCGGGUGUUCUUCGGGCCGGCUCGCCAGUGCACUUUCUCAGAGUAGUCAUCACGACCGGCACUGCUGUCUGGCUGGUGUGGUUAAACCGUUCUCGCAUUGUCCUUGUGGCUCUGCUUGAUCGGGAUGGCAGGUAGCUCGUUGACUUGCUUGUGGCUUGCUACAGGCGCUGGGUCUUUGAGUGUAAUCAGCUGACCACAUUGGUUCUGUGCAGUGUGUCGGAGACGGCGGCUUUUGUGUGUGCGUGCGUGCCUGUCCGGCCAACGCGUUCGGGUUUGGUUGUCAUGUUGCCUGUUCACUCAGGCCUGAUGAUGGCUCGGAUUCGCUUGGUUGGCGGUUGCGUGCGUGGCACAGUUCAUGGGCCAAUAGUC